AUACGAAAGGUGCAAGCGUUGUUCGGAUUUACUGGGCGUAAAGAGAUCGUAGGUGGUUUGUUAAGUCGGAUGUGAAAUCCCGGGGCUCAACCCCGGAACUGCAUUCGAUACUGGCAGACUAGAGUUUGGGAGGGGUAAGCGGAAUUCCGUGUGUAGCAGUGAAAUGCGUAGAUAUACGGAGGAACACCUGAGGCGAAGGCGGCUUACUGGACCAAUACUGACACUGAGGAUCGAAAGCGUGGGUAGCAAACAGGAUUAGAUACCCUAGUAGUCC
rnacentral:rRNA from 1 species